rnacentral:RNase_P_RNA from 1 species
GAGUGGGUCAGACGGCCGCGUAUGCUUCGGCAUGCGAGGAAAGUCCGGGCUCCAAAGGGCAAGAUGCCAGCUAACGGCUGGGCGGGGUAACCCGACGGAUAGUGCCACAGAAAAGGAAACUCCCCCGCUUUGCGGGAGAAAAGCUGAAAAGGUGCGGUAAGAGCGCACCAGCGCGUCGGCAACGGCGCGGCUUGGUAAACCCCAUCUGGAGCAAACGCAAAUAGGGAUGCGAUACGGCCGCCCUUCCGUGCAUCCGGGUUGCGCGCUAGAGACGCACGGCGACGUGCGUUCGAGAUAAAUGGUCGUCCUAAUGACAGAACCCGGCUUAUCGACCCACUCGC